rnacentral:rRNA from 1 species
AUGAAUUCUUACUUUUCGAUCGUUUUUCUUUUAACAUUCCGUGUUUUCUGCAGUGACACGCGUUGCACGCUCAUCCUCCUAAGCCCCAAAUAUUCCAUGGCCACGUAUUUCGACCCGGACCGUCAGUCGAACGUAGACUACACAAAUGUCAAGAAGGUUCUUGAUGAUGUUCUCCCCGGCUACGCCCAAUCUGGAGGCACCUUCACCAGGCCUAUUCGUAAGUACGGCAAGCACGUGUUCUCCCACAAUACGACGUUCUGCUGCGUCAAGCAGCCGCCUGGCGGUCAGAAGGGUGCCUACUACGCCAUCCAUCACAUGCGGGCGAUCGUACGGGACCAUCAUCAACUUCUGCUACCGAGUAAACUCCAAGAUUGGGCCGCGAGCGUGUCGGCAAUCUAG